CCCUUAGAUGUCCGGGGCUGCACGCCCGCUACACUGAAGGAAUCAGCGUGCUAAAACCAUUGUCGAAAGGCAUUGGUAAACCCAUUAAAAUCCUACGUGAUUGGGAUCGGGAAUUGCAAUUAUUUCCCUUGAACGAGGAAUUCCCAGUAAGUGUGGGUCAUAAGCUCGCGUUGAUUACGUCCCUGCCCUUUGUACACACCGCCCGUCGCUGCCCGGGACUGAGCCGUUUCGAGAAAAGCGGGGACUGCUGCUGUCGGGGCUUUCGGGCCUUGGCUUCGGUGGAAACCGCUUUAAUCGCAGUGGCUUGAACCGGGCAAAAGUCGUAACA
rnacentral:rRNA from 1 species